AUGAGAAUGAUAAUGAUUACUAUAGUUAGUGUAUUACUUAAUUAAUCAUUUCUGGGAAUAAAUAUUUGGAUUAAAAAUUCUUGAAAUAGUAGAUAAGAUCUUUUGAGGUUAUCAGGUCACUGUGUUCACGGGAAGUAAGAAGAAGAAGAAGAAGAUGAAACACAGACACACAUACACACAGAAACAGAAGAAGAAGAAGAAGAAGAAGAAGAAGAACCGAGUUACGAAUAGAAUCAAAACGAUUCAACGAAAUCUAAGUGGGGGGUGGUGGCGUGUGUAUUCUUUUAUUUUUUCUUACUCAACCAACCAUUAUUUUCCUCUUUUAUAUUGCUAUAUUUAUAUAUGGGUAUCUAUUUAAAAAAAAAAUCAUUUCCCUUUAUACAGUAAUUAUACUUGAAGUUUAGUUGUCCGCCGUAUAUAAAACUUCAACAACGAAUGACAAGUGGGGAUGAAUGACAAAGAAGAAGAAGAAGAAGAAGAAGAAGAAAAAGAAGAAAAAGAGGGUUAAAAGCAACUACGUUGCAUAUGCUGCACAUGCGCUUACGACGCGACUAAACAAAACAAAAUUACAAAAAAAUAAAAAAAAAAUAAAAAGAAAGAAGAUGAACACAAAAAAAAAUAAGAAUGAGUGAGAGUAUAACCAAGAACGUUGACGGAAGGGACAAAAAUAAUACGCGUUGUGUCUUAAGUCGUGUGUGUGUGUAUGUGUGUGAGGUUAUGUUAACUUGAAAUUUUUCGUAAAUAAAAUAACAUCAUCAUCUCUUUCAAGAAUUCGUCCAACGACGUUUGGUGUAACAACCGCAACCACGCAUCAUUCUCGUGCACCUUUUCUCUUCUCUUUCUUACUUU